ACAAGUAGGCAGAGAAGCAGGCAGAGAGAGUGAGUGAAGCAGGCUUCCCGCUGAGCAGAGAGCUCAAUGCGGGACUCGAUCCUAGGACUCUGGGAUCAUGACCUGAGCCAAACACAGAGGCUUAACCCACUGAGCCACCCAGGCGCCCCUGCAGCAGUUGGGUCGUAUUCCCAGGAGACGUUACCUCUGUGUCAUCUCAACCUCUUCCUUGUAGUGCUGCUGUUUGUCUGGUGUGAGUGGGAAGGACAGAAACAGGGACUGGAGCAGGGUCAGGCCUAAAAAGGAGCUUCCUAUCGGGGCUCCCUAUUAGCAAAACCUAACUGCGAGCCAUAGGACAAGGGGGUUUAUUGGACCUCCAAAACAUUUAACAGAAUGAAGAAGAAGAGAUAUUUAUAGCUAUGAUACAGUCCUCAGAGAUCACUGAGAGGAACCAGGAAUGGGAUACUUCAGGAAAGAACAUUGAGGACAUUAUGGAGGUACUCCAAGCUGCUGAUCAGAAGCCGGAGGGAGAACUGGAGGAGCUGUGUACUACGGUCCUAAUGGCUCUGGGGUUCCAGUCUCCAGGAAUAGUCAUCUUCAAGCUGUGGGACUGAUGGCACAAUACCUUGCCCCCAAACUGCCUCCUGACUGCAGUGGGGAGACUGAUCCACCGCCAGGGUAUAGCCUGAGUUAGUCUGAGAAGAGAACAGGGGCAGCAGGGGGUGGAGACAUUGUAUAGGCUCUAGAUCAGCUUUAUACUCCUGAUUUCUCUCAUUGGACAUCUCCACUUAUUUCAGUCAUGGGUGUGUAUGUGUAGGUGGGAGAAGAAACUAGGAUCCCUACUGGGCUCCUGGGACCUCAGGAGGGAGUUUCUGGAGACCAAGAAUGGCAUGAUAGGAUGUAUUAGGGCAUGGGAGACCCACAGAGCUGGAAAGAAGACUCCAGGUGAAGAGAGAAGGCAGAAUAGAAACCCCCAUUCAGCAGUGGUGGGUAGGGGCAAGGAGAAAGCAAGGAGGGCUUUACUUAAGGGAACCUGCAGUGUUGAAUUUGGUUAGAGUCUUGGAAGUUAAUAGAGUAGGCAGGAGGAGGCAGAGACUCACCAUUCAGUCUCUGCCCUAGUGGCUCGUGGUGAUGGUGGUGGCUCGCUUACCCAUUCUGCUCCCCUCUCUCUAUCGCAAAGUGUGAAAAGGCAGUCAAGUCACAGGACUAGUGACCUUUUCUCCACCACUUGGAACUGGGGGAAAGAGAGUCUGGGGGGAGUAAGUUUGCCUUCUGAGCAUUAGGCUCAAAAUGACAAGGCAUGACCCAGCCAGCACAGAGGACACAGCAACAGAAGCUGGAAACAUGUCGCUUGAUCUAAUCAGGGCAAAUGUCUUCACAUCCAUCUCAGACAGCAUAGCUCUCUAUUUCCUAAGGGUUUUUGUAAAGGAGUGUUCAUGUGUAGCUUGUCCUAAUAAUUUGCAUUUCUGUGCUAUGCUAAUAUCCAUGAUCGAGCUUGAUCCUCCCAGCAUCCCUGCGCAGUGGUCACAUCAGGAACUGGACUCCUAUUUAACAGUUAAAGAAGCUGAAACUCGGGGCGCCUGGGUGGCUCAGUGGGUUGAGCCACUGCCUUCGGCUCAGGUCGUGAUCUCAGGGUCCGGGAUCGAGCCCCGCAUUGGGCUCUCUGCUCAGCAGGGAGCCUGCUUCCUCCUCUCUCUCUCUCUCUGCCUGCCUCUCUGCCUGUGUGUGCUCUCUCUAUGUCAAAUAAAUAAAUAAAAUCUUAAAAAAAAAAAAAGAAGCUGAAACUCAGAUAAAUUAAGUAACUAGUUCAGGGUUCCCCAGACUCUGGAGGUAGAACUAGGAUCAGAACCCGGGUAUCCUGGCCUCCAGUCUAUAAAGUUGGCCUUAGUGAAGGAUGUUCCCCUCCCUGGGAUAGGGAUGUCUUUCUUGUACUUUCCCUCUUAGAUGCAGCUUCAUACAUUGGGGUCACAUGGGAAUACAUCCUGCGCCUUCUCAGGAUGGCCCAAACAGAGGAUGACAUGUUGGCAUUAUGUCAUGUGCUCAAAGGACUGGUCAUCAGUGCCCGGAAACAUGUGGGUUUGUCCACUACAGAUGAUGGACAUCACAAAAGAGGCCGUGUCCUUCAAGGCUUAUCUCACCCUCUGGCUUCUCUUCAAUCAUUGGUCCCUAAAGACCAGCAACAAGGUGACAGAGCAAGCUAUGGUGAUAAUUGGUCACCUCUUCUUCCUCAUGCCAUCCUCCAAACUCAAGAACCAAGUGAACCGGUUAACCCGAUGGUUUAUGACUUUGGUAUCUGCAAAAGUGACACCUUUCUACAUUUCCCAGCUGAGUGAAACAGUCAAGGAGUCAGAUCCUCACUCUGCAUGGAACCAUAUCCUUACCCUGAAGGCUUUCUACAUCCUCUCCAAGUUAUACAAUGAUCAGGUGGUAUUCUUAAUACAAAAGACCAUGAAAACCAGUGAUCCAGCCAAGAUAGUAUCAGCCCUUCAAGUUUUCAUGGAUGUGUUCCCAGAAGUGCCCCAGACAGAGCAACUGAAGAAUGAAGUGAUGCAUUCCAUCAUCAUCAUGAUUCAGGACGAUCUCAAACCAGUGAGCAGAAAGGCAGGACAUUUGAGCUGGGAGUUGCUUUCUUGAGACCUUGAAGUUGUGUAAAAUGGAGAGGGGAAGCUGUUCAUGGAUGAGAGAGAAUGAAGAGGACAUCCAACGAAUGUGUUCCGAAAUCCUACAGAUGGUGUCCUUGCCCAAACUGAUCACCUUGGCAUGCCAGCCCAGCAACACCUUGGCCUUCGUGCUGCUGAGUAAGAUAGCCACAAACAUGUCUCUGAAGGCCCGGUCCCUGGGCCAGGUUCCCUAUCUAAGCAGCUUCCACCUCAGCCCUACCCAGUUCAUCUCCCCACAGAAACUUCUGACCCAUCUUGUGGUGUUUGCCCUGAAGUCCUAUAGUGAAAGGGAGCUUGGGAUAAGCUCUCUAAGGCUACUACAUGCCCUGCAUCCUAUCACCUCCUUGCACCCUGUUAUCAACUCAAAUGUGGGCCAGCUGUGGAUGAAGGAGAUCCCCCCAGAUGUUGCAGAUUCUGGAUGGUGAGCGGUUGGCUGCGAGGUGGGAGGAAUGGAGCUGGGGCAUUGGGGCAGAAUCCAGAAGAGAUGAAGUCCUGAGGUGCAGGAUAGAUCUUCCCUGGGGUGAGGAGAACCAAGACCAGUCUCUCUCUCUUUCUGAGAUGCCGUUUGGGUAGGUCUGUUUGUUUGGACCAUGUUCUGCACUGAGCAGAUAUGCAGCCCAGAGUUCUGUGCCUCCAGAUUUCCCAGAACACUCUUUCUUGUGCUCAGAGGAUCGGCAAAGAGUGUGGGCUUUGGAACCAGAGACCCAGAUCACACUGAGAAGAAUCUGGAUCAGGAGGAGUGGGAGGACAGGCUGCUCCAGUUUUCAAGUCAGUCGUUAGUGGCCAUCAAUGAUGACAGCUGGCUGGAGCAACUCAUCAAGGUUGUCUUGGAGAGGAUAAAUUAUUUCAGCGAUGGUGAGGAGAAGGAUUUUCUGUAUAAAUUCUUUGGAUUUACCUUGCGGACCUCAAGGAAUAUGAAACUGGUGAAGAUGAUUCUUUCCUCUAUCCUACAAAGUGUCCAUGAAGACCUGCAGGAGAGGGAGGGCAUUGCUACGGCACUGAGUAUCGUGUCCAUGAAGUAUCUGAAGAUAGUCCUGGACCAACUUCAAGAGUACAGUGCUAUCCUCACGGACAAGGGCUCAUCAUUCAUCCUCAAACUAAUGAAGGUGAUGGCAUUCCUGGGAACUCUGCCAGCCUCCCACACAGAGCCUUCUGAAGCAUCCCCAUCACUCCAGACUUCCCACUUGAGGACUUGUGACUCACCUAUAAAUGCUUGUAUUUCCCUCUGAUCAACCGUGGGGAAGUUUCAUCUUCUUCUCCCUUUCCUGUGCUCCCUUAUGCUCAUGCUUCAGGCCCUGGUAUCACCAGAGGCACCACAUUCCUCCCAGCUGUUCACCAUUCCACAACCCCAGCUUCCCUUCUGGACCAUCUAGCCAAUCCAUUCCUCUCUGAACCUCCAUUUCCCCAUCAGGCAAGGAGGUUAAGAGGAAGAGAAGGCAAGUUUCCCCCUUCCUCCUACAUUGGCAUGGGGAGGAAGAUGACGCAUUCAGAUUUUGAUGGGGAGACGUCAGGGUGCCCCUGGUAGGGAACCAGGUGGAGAUGCUCAGUAUCCACCUACAGUAUUUUUCACUUAGUUG